GAGAAAACCGAAGAAAGAGCGGGCGAGUGCUUGCUUGAGAAAAAUGGAAGGAGAAUGGAAAGAAUCAGGGUUCUCUUUAACGUCAGGUCCUUCUAUUAAUUUGGAUGCCGGAUUUCUAAUCUUCGAGCUCUAAGGAAGGUUUUUGUUCAUGGCGGAGCCUGGUAGAAGCCUCAUCUCUGCCGACAAAGGUUCUGUUCGGCGUUGUCAGGUAGCAACUGGCUAGAGAAGAUGAAGAAAAACAAGGGAGGGAAGACUAUGCGAUUGGCUAAGCUUGAGAAGAAGAAGAGACGACUCGGUACUAGUUUCAAAAAUAUUCAUAAACUUUAAAAAGUAAUAUUAAAUAGUUUGAAAAACAAUUUAUGAGGUGUUGAUAG